GACGAACGCUGGCGGCGUGCUUAACACAUGCAAGUCGAACGAUGAAGCGGGUGCUUGCCCUCGUGGAUUAGUGGCGAACGGGCGAGUAACACGUGAGUAACCUGUCCUUUUCUUUGGGAUAACGGCUGGAAACGGCUGCUAAUACUGGAUAUUCAGGCUGCAUCGCAUGGUGUGGUUUGGAAAGGUUUUUUCUGGGAUUGGGUGGGCUCGCGGCCUAUCAGCUUGUUGGUGGGGUGAUGGCUUACCAAGGCUUUGGCGGGUAGCCGGCCUGAGAGGGUGGUCGGUCGCACUGGGACUGAGAUACGGCCCAGACUCCUACGGGAGGCAGCAGUGGGGAAUAUUGCACAAUGGACGAAAGUUUGAUGCAGCGACGCCGCGUGGAGGGUGUAGGCCUUCGGGUUGUGAACUCCUUUUUCUCGCGAAAAAGGCACAGUUUUGGCUGUGUUGAUGGUAGUGGGGGAAGAAGCGCCGGCUAACUACGUG
rnacentral:rRNA from 1 species